AUAGGACCAUGAAAAAUACUAAAAUACCUAUUUGAACUGUAUAUGACAAUAUGUACAAAGAAAAUAGUAGAGCCUUGCGGUAAUAGAUGAGUAUAUGUAUGUUCAGUUUCAUGCAUAUACGUCAGCACAACUAAAAGCUAGCAAAAAAGCCAAACAAACAAAAGCUAAAUCCAACAGCCCAUAAAAAAAGUUUUCAUAUUGUAGAACAAGCCGUCUUCUUUUUGUUCAUAUGCAUUAUGGGUAGUCAAGGUAACAGCUACUGUUAUUCUCCUCUCAGCAUCCAUAAUACUAUGUUUGGAUCUUGGAAUUUUGGGGGUAAUGGUGUUGGUGUAUACGAGUUGGCAAUUUCCAUGGGCAAAUUUUGAGCUUGGUUGUAAUGGAUUGAUAGGUUAGAUUGAGCAUUCAAAUGUGUUGCGGUUUGCAGAUUGACAUAAUCUAUGCAGAGAUGACUACAUACUUGUAAUAGAUAUAUACUACAUGAGCCAUUAGUUUUAAUUUCAGAAAAUUGACCUAUUUGACUCAUUCCCAGUCCCGGUAGGUUUUGGAGUCAAAAAUUUGCAAAAAAUAAGACCAAGGGGUAAAAUCCGAGGGCCUUGCUUGAAGCGGCUUGUACUCGAGCUGUCUUCACAAUGGUUUAUGUUAUAUGGCUUCCAGCACGGGACCCCAAUCCACGAUGGUCAACUUAGCAUGGAUAUUUCAAAAUGUGGAACUUGAUCUGCAUUGCAUUUAAUUCUUAAUGUCAUACCUUUUUUUCUCUGUUCUAGAUAUUUAUUUGUUGAUACCUGCCUACUUAUGAAGUGUUCAAUUGGUCGACUAGUUUUAUGCUGUAAUGCUUCUGCUCUGUGUAAUUAUCUUGUUUGUGUACCCAUGGAAGGACUAGUCUUCAUCAUCACUUUUCUCAAGUAUUCUAUUAUAUUUCUGUUCUGGAGAUGGAUGAAAAAUCCAGCUAGAAAAUACUCUUAAAAUUGAUAGUUUAAAUUUCCUUCUUUGUAACAGGAUGAGUGGCAAAGAGGACUGAAAGCUCUUACUGUUGACACUGUAAAUAAAUUGAAGAAUGCACUCUUGGAAGGUUAGGAUGCCUCAAAAUUUUGCAGAUUUCUAUUCUUUUGCAUUUCAAUUCUGCCUAACAGAAGAUAAGCAAAAAUGGAUAGAUGUUGAAUGCAUUUGUGAAUUGCUAGAUAUUGUUAUGGGGUCCCAAUUUCCGUCCCAGGUUGCCUUAUUCACCAAGUAUUUAAAGAUCCAUAAUGAUUACAAGGUGAUUAACAUGGAUCAAUGGACAAGCUUUCUACGGUUUUGCAGCCAGAUAAGCUUUCCAGACCUUAAAAAUUAUGAUACAAUCGAAGCUUGGCCAUUAAUCCUUGAUGAUUUCGUUGAGUGUAUGAGAGAAGAAAAGCUAGCCACAACAGAAUCUUAAUAUCCUUUCUAUAGAUUAUAGUGCUAAUCAGACGAGGACUCUGCCAAAACCUUUUGAAUGGACCUUUUUUUGAAGACUACUUGACUGGGGCUCUCUCUUGUAUGCCAAACUACUUAAAAAUUCUUCAUAUAGUUUUUUUUUAACAAUAUCAACUCCUUGGACAAUUAAUUGGCACCCUCCCAUUUUUGUUUUACUGUUGAAGGGACUUGAUUUAUUUUAAGGUACAGAUGAAUAAACAUUAAUAGAAGAAGUAAUUGAAAUUCAAAUUACUAGCUUCAUUUCCUUGUAAUGAAA